AGCUGUACCCGAAUCCGACACAGGUAGGUCUGUAGAGUAUACAGAGGGGCGCGAGAUAACUCUCUCUAAGGAACUCGGCAAAAUGGCCCCGUAACUUCGGGAGAAGGGGUGCCUCCGCAAGGAGGUCGCAGUGAACAGGCCCAAGCGACUGUUUACCAAAAACACAGGUCUCCGCUAAGUCGUAAGACUAUGUAUGGGGGCUGACGCCUGCCCGGUGCUGGUAGGUGAAGCGAGCUGGUUAUCUGUAUAGAGAAGCUGGCGACCGAAGCCCCAGUGAACGGCGGCCCUAACAAUGAGGGUCCUAAGGUAGCAAAAUUCUUUGCCUGGUAAGUUCAGGCUUGCAUGAAUGGCGUAACGACUUGGGUACUGUCUCGGAGAGAGACUCGGUGAAAUAGACAUGUCUGUGAAGAUGCGGACUACUUACAUCUUGACAGAAAGACCCUAUAAAGCUUUACUGUAGCCUGACAUUGGAUUUGGGCUCCUCUUGCGCAGACUAGGUGGGAGGCUAUGAUGCUCGCCCUGCGGGGCGAGCUGAGCCAUCAUUGAGAGACCACUCUGGAAGAGCUAAAAUUCUAAUGGUGAUCCUUGAAUCAGGACACUUGACAGUGUCAGGCGGGCAGUUUUUCUGGGGCGGAAGCCUCCUAAAAGGUAACGGAGGCGCGCAAAGGUUCCUUCAAGCUGGACGGAAAUCAGCUGUAGAGCGUAAAGGUAUAAGGGAGCUUGACUGCAAGAGUUACAACUCGAGCAGGGGCGAAAGCCGGCCUUAGUGAUCCGACGGUGCCGUGUGGAAGGGCCGUCGCUCAACGAAUAAAAGUUACUUUAAGGAUAACAGGCUGAUCUUCCCCAAGAGUCCACAUCGACGGGAAGGUUUGGCACCUCGAUGUCGGCUUGUCACAUCCUGUGGCGGUAGUACGUCACAAGGGUUGGGCUGUUCGCCCAUUAAAGUGGUACGCGAGCUGGGUUCAGAACGUCGUGAGACAGUUUGGUCCAUAUCCGAUGUAAGCGCUAGAGCGCUGAGGGAAUCCUCGCCUAGUACGAGAGGACCGGUGAGGACGCACCUCUGGUGUACCGGUUGUUCCGCCAGGGGCAUAUGCCGGGUAGCCAUGUGCGGAGCGGAUAACCGCUGAAAGCAUCUAAGUGGGAAGCCCAUCCCAAGAUGAGCGCUCUCUCGCAAGAGUUUUGCUCUUGCAAUAGGCCACAGCAAGACUAGCUGUUUGAUAGGCAUUAGGUGUAACGUCGGUAACGGCCUUAGCUGAGAUGUACUAAUAGGCCUACUGAG
rnacentral:rRNA from 1 species